AGUGAACGCUGGCGGUAGGCCUAACACAUGCAAGUCGAACGGCAGCACAGUAAGAGCUUGCUCUUACGGGUGGCGAGUGACGGACGGGUGAGGAAUACAUCGGAAUCUACUUUUUCGUGGGGGAUAACGUAGGGAAACUUACGCUAAUACCGCAUACGACCUACGGGUGAAAGCAGGGGAUCUUCGGACCUUGCGCGAUUGAAUGAGCCGAUGUCGGAUUAGCUAGUUGGCGGGGUAAAGGCCCACCAAGGCGACGAUCCGUAGCUGGUCUGAGAGGAUGAUCAGCCACACUGGAACUGAGACACGGUCCAGACUCCUACGGGAGGCAGCAGUGGGGAAUAUUGGGCAAUGGGCGCAAGCCUGAUCCAGCCAUACCGCGUGGGUGAAGAAGGCCUUCGGGUUGUAAAGCCCUUUUGUUGGGAAAGAAAAGCAGCAGGUUAAUACCCCGCUGUUCUGACGGUACCCAAAGAAUAAGCACCGGCUAACUUCGUG
rnacentral:rRNA from 1 species